rfam:Paenisporosarcina sp. HGH0030 genomic scaffold acAqH-supercont1.3, whole genome shotgun sequence.
UAUAUUCUUCGGGGCAAGGUGAAAUUCCUUACCGGCGGUGAACAAAUGUAGAUUUGUAAGUCCGUGACCCGGUGCUUGAAAAAGUAGCGGUGGAGUUGGUGCGAAUCCAACACCGACAGUAUAGUCUGGAUGGGAGAAGAGUAUA